CACUCCUACGGGAGGCAGCAGUGGGGAAUCUUGCGCAAUGGGCGAAAGCCUGACGCAGCCAUGCCGCGUGAAUGAUGAAGGUCUUAGGAUUGUAAAAUUCUUUCACCGGGGACGAUAAUGACGGUACCCGGAGAAGAAGCCCCGGCUAACUUCGUGCCAGCAGCCGCGGUAAUACGAAGGGGGCUAGCGUUGCUCGGAAUUACUGGGCGUAAAGGGAGCGUAGGCGGACAUUUAAGUCAGGGGUGAAAUCCCGGGGCUUAACCUCGGAAUUGCCUUUGAUACUGGGUGUCUUGAGUAUGAGAGAGGUGUGUGGAACUCCGAGUGUAGAGGUGAAAUUCGUAGAUAUUCGGAAGAACACCAGUGGCGAAGGCGACACACUGGCUCAUUACUGACGCUGAGGCUCGAAAGCGUGGGGAGCAAACAGGAUUAGAAACCCUUGUAGUCCC
rnacentral:rRNA from 1 species